AGGAAAUGGGGCAGCCAGGAGUGCUUGAGAACAGAUGGGGCCAGGCACCAUGGCCCACACUUGUAAUCCCAGCACUUUGGGAGGCCAAGGCAGGCAGAUCACUUGAGCCUCCCCAGGGAUAUGAGGCUCUGGAGUCAGAAGAUGCCACCACCCCAGAGGAUGUGAGCCCACCUGUGGAGGUCUUGAUCCCAACCACUAGGAUGGGGCAGCCCCACGGUGGGUGACUACAUGAACUCCCUGUGGUGAGGGGUGAGUAGCCCAUGGAAGCCUCCCCACUACCAUGCAACCCCAUCGCAUCUCCGCUGAACUCCGAGCAGAAAACGGCUGCCUGAUGGGAACUGUCAUUUAGGUUCCCAGGCUACUUUGGUGGAUCUGAGAAUAAAUCCCUCAAGACAAGGUCCUUGCUCUGCCCUUCUCCAGGGUGGAACCCAGAGUUACUGGCCCCUCCAUCCCACGGAGCUGCUUCUGCAACCCUCACUUCCUAAGCACAGAAAUCUGGAACCACUGGUUAAAAAGAAGUCUGAGAGCCAAAAUACACACAGCCAGCUGUGAGUUACUACCUGCCUUACCCAGGAAAAGGACAUGAGCUGCCCAAGCACACACCUCUUUGCCAUCUAUGCCAGCAUUUUUACCUUCAAGGCCGAUGUUCUCA
rnacentral:antisense_RNA from 1 species